UGGGACAACUACCGGAAACGGUAGCUAAUACCGAAUAAUUGUUUUCUUCGCCUGAAGGAAACUGGAAAGACGGAGCAAUCUGUCACUUGGGGAUGGGCCUGCGGCGCAUUAGCUAGUUGGUGAGGUAACGGCUCACCAAGGCGACGAUGCGUAGCCGACCUGAGAGGGUGAUCGGCCACACUGGGACUGAGACACGGCCCAGACUCCUACGGGAGGCAGCAGUAGGGAAUCUUCCGCAAUGGGCGAAAGCCUGACGGAGCAAUGCCGCGUGAGUGAUGAAGGUUUUCGGAUCGUAAAGCUCUGUUGCCAGGGAAGAACGCUUGGGAGAGUAACUGCUCUCAAGGUGACGGUACCUGAGAAGAAAGCCCCGGCUAACUACGUGCCAGCAGCCGCGGUAAUACGUAGGGGGCAAGCGUUGUCCGGAAUUAUUGGGCGUAAAGCGCGCGCAGGCGGUCAUUUAAGUCUGGUGUUUAAUCCCGGGGCUCAACCCCGGAUCGCAC
rnacentral:rRNA from 1 species